UACGGAGGGUGCAAGCGUUAAUCGGAAUUACUGGGUGUAAAGCGCACGCAAGUGGCUGAGUCAGUCGAUUGUGAAAGCCCUGGGCUCAACCUGGGAAUUGCAGUCGAUACUACUCAGCUAGAGUAUGGGAGAGGGCAGUGGAAUUCCCGGUGUAGCGGUGAGAUGCGUAGAUAUCGGGAGGAACAUCAGUGGCGAAGGCGGCUGCCUGGCCCAAUACUGACACUCAGGUGCGACAGCGUGGGGAGCAAACAGG
rnacentral:rRNA from 1 species